rnacentral:rRNA from 1 species
AUUGAACGCUGGCGGCAGGCUUAACGCAUGCAAGUCGAGCGGAGAUGAGGUGCUUGCACCUUAUCUUAGCGGCGGACGGGUGAGUAAUGCUUAGGAAUCUGCCUAUUAGUGGGGGACAACAUUCCGAAAGGAAUGCUAAUACCGCAUACGUCCUACGGGAGAAAGCAGGGGAUCUUCGGACCUUGCGCUAAUAGAUGAGCCUAAGUCGGAUUAGCUAGUUGGUGGGGUAAAGGCCUACCAAGGCGACGAUCUGUAGCGGGUCUGAGAGGAUGAUCCGCCACACUGGGACUGAGACACGGCCCAGACUCCUACGGGAGGCAGCAGUGGGGAAUAUUGGACAAUGGGCGCAAGCCUGAUCCAGCCAUGCCGCGUGUGUGAAGAAGGCCUUAUGGUUGUAAAGCACUUUAAGCGAGGAGGAGGCUACUUUAGUUAAUACCUAGAGAUAGUGGACGUUACUCGCAGAAUAAGCACCGGCUAACUCUGUGCCAGCCGCCGCAGUAAAAC